AUCGGAUUGUCUGUCUGAGCUUCUGGCCGGGGUCUUUUUUUUAAUCACUGCAUUUUUAAUUUAAGUUUUAGUGUAUGUGAUUUAAUUUAUAUUUAUUUAUGUAUCACCUAGGUUAUAUACCUUUAAUAAUAAUCAUAUAAAGAAACUGACACUUUUAUUUGUACUCCAACUACGUGGGAAUAUAGGGUCACGACUCACGAACUAGACUCAACUCAAUGGCAUAACUUCCGGCGAUCUCUUCUUUCCUGAAAUCCUGGAACUAUGUCCCUUUCAAUCAAUGGGCAAAUCUGAAAAUUUUGAUGUUAGUGUGUUUAUUGGAAAAAGAUCAUUUUGAAUUAUCUGAUGCAGCAAAGCUAGGUACUAACUGUGUGCGAUCUCGUGAUGGGAAACACCCCCCCUCCAUGGGGAGAUUGGGAAAAGCUGCGUGCGAUCAAGUACUUCAGACCAUUAGCGUGCAAUGUCAUCUACAUGACAUCCGCCGCCAUCAAUGGCAGACCCUCCCUGGACAGCUCCUCUUUGCUAAUAAGGGCGAUCAGAGACACAUGUGAGGAGGCACGCUUAGCUGCAUUUAUCAAAAACUCCUGGAGGCCACGAAAGGCUUUCAGAAGGGAAUACAGGCCUAGACAAACAGAUAACGCUGAUAGACAGUACAGAGAAUCACUGGCAAUGAUCAUGGCACCUCCCAUCGGCGCCCCUGCAAGGGAAAUAGCUUUGGAAAACCUACUCCAGGACGAAGCAAACCCUCAAGCAAAUUUAAAGGAGCAUGAUAACGAUUUGGGCCCAGAGAGAACAAAUUAC
rnacentral:lncRNA from 1 species